rnacentral:rRNA from 1 species
ACGCUCGACACCUACGGAGGCAGCAGUGAGGAAUAUUGGUCAAUGGGCGCUAGCCUGAACCAGCCAAGUAGCGUGAAGGAUGAAGGCUCUAUGGGUCGUAAACUUCUUUUAUAUAAGAAUAAAGUGCAGUAUGUAUACUGUUUUGUAUGUAUUAUAUGAAUAAGGAUCGGCUAACUCCGUGCCAACAGCCGCGGUAAGUCUGAGCGGGCGUGGCAAGGC